CUGACCCAGAGAAGAAGAUCCAUUUCUUCUUAUUGAUAAUGGUUUUUAGCUCCUUGGCGACCCAGGGUUUAUUGUUAGGGAAGAUGGUAACAGUCUUGAAGGGUAUAAUGUUUUCCUCACAGAAGUUGAUGUAUGAUGAGACGACAUCCACCUGUUUGUUUAUGUCAUCAGAAGAGGAAAGGAGGUUAGUCCAGUUAGUAGACUCAAAGCAACCCUGGAGGAUUGCUAUACUCUCGAUAGUCCACUGCUUGAUGGUCCUGGUAACCUUCUUAAUUUUCCUGAUGACUGGAAUGUAGGCAGGAGUGAGCAGGAUGGUGAGGUGAUCAGCAGAGCCGAGGGGAGGAAGAGUGACAGCUCUGUAGGCAUCCGGGACAGAACCAUAGCAUCUAUCAAGUGUCUUUCCCAGACGAGUGGAGCAAUGGAUGUAUUGUUCAAAGCCUUUCAAAGAUUUUCCAGGAUUGCAGUGAUUAAAAUCUCCGAGAAUGAAUUUGGGGGAAUCAGGGGAUAAAUGUUCAAAUUUGUCCAGGGAACUUUUGAUGAGGUCAGUUGCUGAAGUGGAGUUAGCUUUGGGGUGUAUGUAAACCAGGACGAAGAAGGGUUGAGGGAACUCUCUGGGAGGGUAAAAGGGACGAAGAGACAGAGCCAGGAGCUCAAUGUCUGGAGUGCUCAGCUUCUCUCUGAUGUGGACAAUGGAGCACCAACGGGGGUUGAUAUAGAAACACACACCACCACCAUGUUGUUUACCGGUGAUGUCACUGUCAUGGUCGAGCCUGAUGGGGGUGCCAAAUCCAUCGAUGUACAGCGCUUUGUUGUCAUUGCCAUGGUUGAGCCAAGUUUCAGUAAACUCCAGAAUAGAAACAUUCCUGUACUCAUGUAGAUGGUUCACAUUAGCCUGAAGUUCGUCCGUUUUAUUCCUUAGUGAGCGGACAUUGGCAAGGAUGACCGCCGGCAGUGUCAGCUGUUUACCUGUUGCUUGCCGAAGUUGUGCUCUGAUACCUCCCUUCUUUUUUCCCCGUCUGGUCGCCUUGUGAAGUCUCUGUUUGGAGUUGGACUGAUCCGCCUCGGAUGUUCGUUUCUGAAUCUUCUCAGGAAGAGUAUCGGGGGAGAACGAAGCCGGACUGAGGUUGAGACGCAGCAGCAGCUCCCAUGAGUCAAUCCUGAGAUCGAGAUGCUGAACCUCUUCUGCUCCUCGGACCUGCCUGAUCCAUCCUGGUGCCCUGUGUCUGGUUGGAGUCUCAUCACAUCACUCCUGUGGAGGACGGCCCCAUGUGGACAGUUGAAAGUCACACCUGGAAGACACUCUGGACUCUUACAGUAAUGCUUUUAUGGCUGAGGACUACAGUUGACUUGUUGACUUUAGGACUGCAGUUGUCAUGAACAGUUUUGCACUCAAGUUUCCAUCAAUGAAGAGUUUAUAACAUCAAUGAAACUGACUUCAUGUUAAAACUGUUAAAAAUGUUAUCACAUUAUCUGUUAUCAUCCAAAUGAGGAUGGGUUCCCUUUUGAGUCUGGUUCCUCUCGAGGUUUCUUCCUCAUGUCGUCUGAGGGAGUUUUUCCUUGCCACCGUCGCCACAGGCUUCAUCAUUGGGGACAGAUUAGGGAUAAAAUUAGCUCGUGUUUAAAAUCAUUAAAAUUCUGUAAAGCUGCUUUGUGACAAUGUCUAUUGUUAAAAGCGCUAUAUAAAUAAACUUGACUUGGCUUGAUUGAAAA